UACGUAGGGCGCAAGUGUUGUCCGGAAUUAUUGGGCGUAAAGAGCUCGUAGGCGGCUUGUCACGUCGGGUGUGAAAGCCCGGGGCUUAACCCCGGGUCUGCAUUCGAUACGGGCUAGCUAGAGUGUGGUAGGGGAGAUCGGAAUUCCUGGUGUAGCGGUGAAAUGCGCAGAUAUCAGGAGGAACACCGGUGGCGAAGGCGGAUCUCUGGGCCAUUACUGACGCUGAGGAGCGAAAGCGUGGGGAGCGAACAGG
rnacentral:rRNA from 1 species